rnacentral:rRNA from 1 species
UACGUUCCCGGGUCUUGUACACACCGCCCGUCACACCACGAGAGUUUACAACACCCGAAGUCGGUGAGGUAACCGCAAGGGGCCAGCCGCCGAAGGUGGGGUAGGUGAUUGGGGUG